rnacentral:sRNA from 1 species
CAUUACUACAUACACUAUCAACGAUCAUACUACUUUACUUCUCCAUGGGGACCGCCGUCGAGGAAUUCCGCAGCGACCCUAAGCCAUGUCCUCAACACUACUUUGGUUGUCUUCAGCUGGGAAGUAUCCCCCACGAUACGGUAAUGACUGAAAGGCAUCAUUCCAUCUUGCUCAAGGUUUCAUGCCACCACCUCCCUUCUUUCCACUGGCAGCCGUGAGGGACCCCGUUUAUAGGCGUCAGAGAUCUGCAAGCCAUAGAUCUGAUCCGCUGGUAUGGUCUUCAUCAGUGCGUCCAAAGUCGCCUUGAACUUCUAAUUCAAAUUAGGUUCCCUGAUUUGUACAGUACAAUGCACCUCAUCCCGCUUUCUCAACAAGUCCUGAGGGAUUUGUGGAUUCGGCCUACUCACCACCAGCUAUCUGGACGUUGUCGAGACACAACUUAAAUUUGGCCUGUUGACUUCACGGACAUGCCCAACGCAUCUCCAUAAGGAACCGUGCGUGGACCAGCACCAACCCUCAUAGGCCGGACCCAUAUUAUGUGCACUCAGUAGAUGUGCUAGCCGUUGGGAUAUCUGAAACUAUAUCCUCACGAUUCGUGGAUAUCUCAUGGGCUGGAAAGAGUCUGUGGGUCCAACCCUUUGAUAUGUGGAGGUUGCAAGAUUAUCAAUUAUGCUUGAAGCAUGUUCGUCCCACACACUUAUCCACUCCAUUGCUCUUUAGAACGCGUCAUAUCACUCUUUAGAUCCCUUUUAGCAGGAUGUACCAUCAUCACUCACUCUAAUGCCAAGUAUGCGACACAUCAGUGAACUUCCCCAGCUGCUGGACAAAGAGUGUUGUAGUCAUUGCAGUUAUAUCUUAAUGGAGACUCUGGUUUGCAAAAUCCUGGAGAUUGGGGCAUGCAAGUUCAACCGCGGAGAAUUCCGCGAGUUUUCUGAGUAAUGUAUAUCCAAUAGACAUUUCAAGCCUUCACUUUUCGCUAUUUUAUUGAUGUUUAGUUGAUCCCAUGUUAUCGCAAAAAGUGCAAAAUUUGCCCACCAC